GACGAACGCUGGCGGCGUGCUUAACACAUGCAAGUCGAACGAUGAACCCGGAGCUUGCUCCGGUGGAUUAGUGGCGAACGGGUGAGUAACACGUGAGUAACCUGCCCUUGACUCUGGGAUAACUGCGGGAAACUGUAGCUAAUACCGGAUACGACCCUCGGCGGCAUCGCCAGGGGGUGGAAAGAAUUUCGGUCAAGGAUGGACUCGCGGCCUAUCAGCUAGUUGGUGAGGUAACGGCUCACCAAGGCGACGACGGGUAGCCGGCCUGAGAGGGUGACCGGCCACACUGGGACUGAGACACGGCCCAGACUCCUACGGGAGGCAGCAGUGGGGAAUAUUGCACAAUGGGCGAAAGCCUGACGCAGCCAUGCCGCGUGAAUGAUGAAGGUCUUAGGAUUGUAAAAUUCUUUCGCACGCGACGAUGAUGACGGUAGCGUGAGAAGAAGCCCCGGCUAACUUCGUGCCAGCCGCCGCGGUAA
rnacentral:rRNA from 1 species